AUUGAACGCUGGCGGCAUGCCUUACACAUGCAAGUCGAACGGUAACGCGGGGCAACCUGGCGACGAGUGGCGAACGGGUGAGUAAUGUAUCGGAACGUGCCCAGUUGUGGGGGAUAACUGCUCGAAAGAGCAGCUAAUACCGCAUACGACCUGAGGGUGAAAGCGGGGGAUCGCAAGACCUCGCGCAAUUGGAGCGGCCGAUAUCAGAUUAGGUAGUUGGUGGGGUAAAGGCUCACCAAGCCAACGAUCUGUAGCUGGUCUGAGAGGACGACCAGCCACACUGGGACUGAGACACGGCCCAGACUCCUACGGGAGGCAGCAGUGGGGAAUUUUGGACAAUGGACGCAAGUCUGAUCCAGCCAUGCCGCGUGCGGGAAGAAGGCCUUCGGGUUGUAAACCGCUUUUGUCAGGGAAGAAACGCUCUGGGUUAAUACCUCGGGGUAAUGACGGUACCUGAAGAAUAAGCACCGGCUAACUACGUGCCAGCAGCCGCCGUAAUAC
rnacentral:rRNA from 1 species